rnacentral:rRNA from 1 species
CGGACGGGUGAGUAAUGUCUGGGAAACUGCCCGAUGGAGGGGAUAACUACUGGAAACGGUAGCUAAUACCGCAUAACGUCGCAAGACCAAAGAGGGGGCCUUCGGGCCUCUUGCCAUCGGAUGUGCCCAGAUGGGAUUAGCUAGUAGGUGGGGUAACGGCUCACCUAGGCGACGAUCCCUAGCUGGUCUGAGAGGAUGACCAGCCACACUGGAACUGAGACACGGUCCAG